GAUGAACGCUGGCGGCGAGCUUAACACAUGCAAGUCGAGCGAGAGAAGUUCUUCGGAGCUUUUCUAGCGGCGGACGGGUGAGUAACACGUGGGCAACCUGCCUCAUAGAGGGGAAUAGCCUUCCGAAAGGAAGAUUAAUACCGCAUAACAUUGUUGAAAGGCAUCUUUUAACAAUCAAAGGAGCAAUCCGCUAUGAGAUGGGCCCGCGGCGCAUUAGCUAGUUGGUGAGGUAACGGCUCACCAAGGCGACGAUGCGUAGCCGACCUGAGAGGGUGAUCGGCCACAUUGGAACUGAGACACGGUCCAGACUCCUACGGGAGGCAGCAGUGGGGAAUAUUGCACAAUGGGGGAAACCCUGAUGCAGCAACGCCGCGUGAGUGAUGAAGGUCUUCGGAUUGUAAAGCUCUGUCUUUAGGGACGAUAAUGACGGUACCUAAGGAGGAAGCCACGGCUAACUACGUGCCAGCAGCCGCGGUAACAC
rnacentral:rRNA from 1 species